rnacentral:rRNA from 1 species
UGCAGUCGACGAUGAACCACUUCGGUGGGGAUUAGUGGCGAACGGGUGAGUAACACGUGGGCAAUCUGCCCUGCACUCUGGGACAAGCCCUGGAAACGGGGUCUAAUACCGGAUACUGAUCCUCGCAGGCAUCUGCGAGGUUCGAAAGCUCCGGCGGUGCAGGAUGAGCCCGCGGCCUAUCAGCUAGUUGGUGAGGUAACGGCUCACCAAGGCGACGACGGGUAGCCGGCCUGAGAGGGCGACCGGCCACACUGGGACUGAGACACGGCCCAGACUCCUACGGGAGGCAGCAGUGGGGAAUAUUGCACAAUGGGCGAAAGCCUGAUGCAGCGACUCCGCGUGAGGGAUGACGGCCUUCGGGUUGUAAACCUCUUUC